GCGGAAAUUACUGCUGGGAUUUCCUCUGUCCGGCCCGCUAGCUAAACGUCACUCUCUAUAGGGACUUUAUGAACGCAAUUCUAUGUUCCUGACAUCGAACGCAAUUAUCAAGCAGUAAUGAGUUAAAUGUAAACAAGUGUCAUUUCAAUUGAAAGCUGAGGAAUUUUGUUGGAGAAAACUCUAAACAAUUAAGUCUAACUUUGUUGUAAAACUCUAAAUUUCUAACUUUUAGAGACAUCUCCAAAGUCUCUUUUUUGUUUAAAAUAUUGAUAUUUAAUUAUAUAAAUUAAUCUGUCUUUUUGUAUAUUAAAAGUAAUUAUUUAAUUACAACUAAGACAAAGAAUGGUGCUGUGUUUGUUUUGAAUU